UUGGCUUAGAAGCAGCCAUCAUUUAAAGAAAGCGUAAUAGCUCACUGGUCGAGUCGGCCUGCGCGGAAGAUGUAACGGGGCUAAACCAUGCACCGAAGCUGCGGCAGCGACACUAUGUGUUGUUGGGUAGGGGAGCGUUCUGUAAGCCGUUGAAGGUGUGCUGUGAGGCAUGCUGGAGGUAUCAGAAGUGCGAAUGCUGACAUAAGUAACGAUAAAGCGGGUGAAAAGC
rnacentral:rRNA from 1 species